UAACACAUUUUUCGUAUACAGAAUCUAAUUAUUGGGGGGGGGGUUGUCUUAAAUUCAUGGUCAUCUUAAAUUCAGAUUAAUCUUGGAUUUGGGUAAAUCUGGUAUUAUUACCUGCUUUAAGAAUGCAUUUUCCUGACUUUUUGGUCUAUAUAACCCACUAUGCCCCCUCCCUUAACAGCACCUUGGUUCUUUCCUUGAUAUAUCUUCACCCAGCUGUGUUCAGCAGAUCUUUUUCACCUCCUCUGGGACAUUGCAGCAAGUGCUUACACUUUUGAGGCAUUGCAUUGUCUUAUUUUUUUAUCUAUCCUUUUGGAGCAAGCCGUUACCCUCUCAAUGCUAAUAUUUUAAUUGUGAGAAUUAUCCUCCCAAGUCUCUGUAAUGCCAGUUAAGUGACAAUUUUUCUCAUGUACUAUGGCUUCUAGUUUGUUGCAUUGAUAUAUAGGCAUUAAAUAGACUUUGUAGAAUGCACUGCUGUUUUUUCUUUCCUAGCUUUUAAGACAAUAUUAUGGUUUUCCAUCCUUUCUUCAGAAUUUUAUCACCUUUUCCCAACUCUCAUUCCUUGUUCCUAAUUAUGCUUUGGUAUUGUUGUCACAGUCUCCCAUAGGACUUAAAACCCUUUUCAUUAGUUUGCCAGACAAAAUCCAAAGAAGCUCUUGCCAGUAUUUUUAUAAUAUAUUUGAUGCCUUUACUGCAACUCACUUUACCUUAUGCGACAAAAAGCUAAUGACCUGGGAAAGUCAUUCUGCCAGUGCCACUUGCAUAGCCAUGUGUUUGCUUCUUUAACGGAAUGCUUCUUGUCUAGGCCUUUUCCUUCAACAGAGAAUUGAUUAGAAUACUGCCUGCACUUGAAACUCGUUUACAAGACCCUGGACAAGAAUUUUAAUCUCCUUUCAUCCAAUAAGGGUAAUUCGUGACGGGUUUAUUGGUACCCAUACAGAUGAGUAGAAAACAGCAGUGAUUGUGGGUGUCUGAUGAUAUGUUUUGGCCAUCUCUUAUUCUCAUCCUGGAUUUGGGUUCUGGGCAUGCAGCAUGUAUACCUCCCUCCGUUCUGAGAGCAGACCUCACUGGGUGCCUUGGUCUUCUGCAAGCAGGAUUUUGUCGAAUCCACUCAUCAUUCAUGAAGGGGCAAAUGAUACUUCAAGAUUCCCUCUGGAAUCAUUCCAGGAUUACUCUGCCAGGCAUCUGUUCAAAGUUGCGGAGGCUCAGCUUUAAGCAAUAAAUGCUUAUAACAGCUCACAAAGACACUCUCAUGGACCCAGAGGGACAGCCGUCCAUCUUCAGCUCCCUCUGUACAAAAAUGAAGUUCAUUUCCUACCUGUGGACUUUUUACUACCUUGUACCAUCUAUAAUUUCCCAGAUCCUGACGAAGGGACUUCGUUUCCAAAAGCUUGCAGAAAAGGACAAUUUUCUUGUGAUUUCCCAGUUGAUUUAAUAAAACGUAUCAUUUUGGAACCAA